GAUGAAGAACGUAGUGAAAUGCGAUAAGUAAUAUGAAUUGCAGAAUUCAGUGAAUCAUCGAAUCUUUGAACGCACAUUGCGCCCGCCAGCACUCUGGCGGGCAUGCCUGUUCGAGCGUCAUUUCAACCAUCAAGCCCCCAGGGGCUUGUGCUGGGGCCCUGCGGCUGCCCGCAGGCCCUGAAAACCAGUGGCGGGCUCGCUAGUCACACCGAGCGCAGUAGCACAUCUCGCUCAGGGCGUGCGGCGGGCUCCUGCCGUGAAACCCCCCACUGUAACCCCAAAGGUUGACCUCGGAUCAGGUAGGAAUACCCGCUGAACUUAAGCAUAUCAAUAAGCGGAGGA
rnacentral:misc_RNA from 1 species